rnacentral:tRNA from 1 species
CCUAGCAUCUCCAGUGGUAAAGAAUCUGCCUGCAAUGCAGGAGACCUGGGUUCGAUCCCUGUGUUAGGA